UACGUAGGGUGCAAGCGUUAAUCGGAAUUACUGGGCGUAAAGCGUGCGCAGGCGGUUCGCUAAGUCAGAUGUGAAAUCCCCGGGCUUAACCUGGGAACUGCAUUUGUGACUGGCGGGCUGGAGUAUGGCAGAGGGGGGUAGAAUUCCACGUGUAGCAGUGAAAUGCGUAGAGAUGUGGAGGAAUACCGAUGGCGAGGGCAGCCCCCUGGGCCAAUACUGACGCUCAUGCACGAAAGCGUGGGGAGCAAACAGG
rnacentral:rRNA from 1 species